AAGAAAAGAGAAAAAAGUAGUUGGUAAGGUGAGGAAAAAAGGGAUUCGAUCAAUUGGCUCAAGGACGUUUGUGGCUGGUGUGACCCCCUUUUCCAGUCAGGCAUUUAUUUUAGUGAGACCAGACGACCCCGAGGCGUCUGUCAGGCGCGGGGGGCGGAGUUUUAUCGACGGGGAUGCAUUACAACGUGAAAGGCAAAAACGAUGGUCAAUCUAAUGUCAGCAAGAGGGUACGAGGGAAAAUGUUUGUAAUUUUUAAGGGUAAUGUCUUCAACUAAAUACAAUUUGUGAUCUUUUGACGUAUCGUUGAAAUAAAUCGGUCCAGUGAGAGCUGAGAAAAAUUGGCAAGACACCAAAAAAUAAAAA